CCAAGGCCCCGACGCCCGUCCGCCCGUCGCGUUGCUUCGAUGCCCCCCCUCGCAGUCGCGACUCGCCUCCUCCGCGCCGUUCCCCAUUCAUCCUAAAGGCCUAAACCCUAGCCUCCUUGCUCCUGCGCUCCGGUCGCCGGUGCGUCCCCUCCUCCGCUGGCCGCCGGCGCCGGUGCAAUCACCCGCCGCCGCCAGUGCAUCCGUCCAGGGCUGCACGGCCACCUGUGCCCACUGGGUUGUGCGGUCCUAACGCAAGUUCGGCGCCGACCACCGCCGAACUGAAGCCGUCUGCCCACACCCACUCGCGGCAGCACCGCCGGACGGCUCCCGGCACUGCGCCAGUGCGUGCUGCCUCCGGUAUAGCGGCUGCCGGAUCCCGCCGCGGCACCUGCAGGUUGGUACUUUUAAUGAGACAUAGUUUAAUGUUUUAAUUUGAACCUAGCUGGCCUCUUACACUGCCAUACUUAGCUCCAUUUCUGAGACUAUCACUGCUGGACGCCAUGACGUCUAGUGGAGGUCCGAUCCAUUGGGACUUGAGGUCUUCUUGUUUGGGCUAUAGGACCCCUAUCUUGCUUUGCUUGGACGGAUUGCUCAUGUUGUUUUGUUUCUCUUCCUUAUGGCGAUCCUUGAAAUCCUUUUUUUGUUUUUCUUCCCAGCCCAUCUAGGCUGCAUGUAUAGGUGAUUUGUUUUAUUUUCCAAGCCUUUGGGCAAGUGAACCUCCACACCCAAUGUGAUGUCAGCUGCUGGCUGUAGACUGGAGCUCCUCCCUUGCGGCUGUUUAUCCCCCACUGCUUUGCCUAGGGGCGCUAGCCAUUCCAGCUGAGUUUGCUUCUAUGGGGAUUGUCGUUUGUGAUAUUCGGGUCUUGAGGUCCCCUUCUGCGCGAUUGAUGAGCCUAUUAUGUUGUGGUGCAAUGCUUUAGGGAUUUGGAGUUUGAACAAUGCCAAUGUGGCUACCCUGCAUGAUUUUAGGCGAACAUAGUGUCAGUACAUUUUGGGAAUUUUACCAGAAAUGCCCUGAAGUCUGCAUGCUCUGUUUUAUAAGUUAUUGGGAUAUUCAUUGAUUCCAUUCAUGUAGUUGCCUGUGUUAGUUCUCUAACCAAGCUUUGAGGCAUCUCACUUGAUCAAAUAAUGCAACUUAAAAGUAUUUCAUUAGAUUGUUGUGAAAUGAAUUUCACUCAUUUAGAACAACUGGAUGAAAUGUUACUGUGAUACAUUAUGCGUAGCCGUGGGAUUUCUUAGAAUUUAGUUAUUUCUGGCAUCGACACCAACAGUGUGCUAUAAUUUACUUCUGCUGAUCCGCAUUAGAAUUCCUCUGUGUUAGUUAAUUAUGAAAAAAAUCAUCGCAAAUGAAGGAAUGAGUGUGAAAAGUCAAUUUGUCACUCUUUUUAAUACUCUGUGAUUUUAGCCUUCUUAAAUUUUCCCUAUUUUUAGGUGGUUUUAGAACUUCUACACAUUGUUUACCCCUUUUGUCCAUUUUUGUCGCUGCUUAAUAAAUGCUACCACUCUCACAAAUGAAUAAGUCAUCUUUCCAAAUGUGCAUAUUAAGUGAAGGGCCCUAAGGAUAUUUGAUAUACUACUUAAUCCUUGUGCUCAAGUCUAAAUGGCCUAUAUUUGGAAUCAGAGGAUGUAGAUGUAGUGACCUCCAGGGGUUUCAGAAUAGCUCAUUGGUAUAUGUUACUAUAGGUUGGAUACCUGCUUCCAACAUUCAAUUUUUCGUUGGCUCAUUUCAGCAAUCUGAAGGCAUACUGCACUGUCUGCUCUUCAACACAUUGGGCACAUAUUUCUCUGGGUCAUUGAUUUUUUUGUUUAACCCAAAACUAUGGGGCUACAACCUUCCAGCGUGAUCAAUUUUUACAACUGCAAUAGGAUUUUCAUGUACAAGCAGACUACAAAGAACUUGGGGGGACACAGAAACUGAAAUGGCUACGUCAGUUCCUUUUCCUUGCUACUCACUACAUAUUGCUAGAUUUCUGCAGGCACUAAUCACUAACAGUUACUGCACUGUUGGUAUGCGAGUCCUAGUUUGCUGCUCAUGCUCUAAGAUAUGAGGUAGUUCUGUGUGAGGGAUUUGAAAGAUGGCGUCAAAAGGUCCCCGGUCAAGGCUAGACCAUGACACAAGAGCUAGGCGUCAGAAGGCUCUUGAAGCUCCAAGGGAGCCUCGACGGCCAAAAGUUCACUGGGACCAUGUCCUUGCUGAGAUGUUGUGGCUGGCAAAGGAGUUUGAUUCUGAGAGAAAAUGGAAGUUGUCCAUGGCCAAAAAGAUUGCUCAAAGAGCAAAUAAGAGCAUAGUUGAUCAAGCAGCAAAGGGCGAGAGAAAACAGAAGGAGGAAGAACAUAGAAUGCGAAAAGUUGCCGUUAAUAUUUCAAAGGAUGUGAAGAAGUUCUGGAUCAAAAUAGAAAAGCUGGUUGUCUAUAAGCAUCAACUGGAGCUUGAGGAGAGAAAGAAGAAGGCACUUGAUAAGCAACUUGAUUUCCUUUUAGGUCAGACUGAAAGGUAUUCAACAAUGUUGGCGGAAAACCUUGUAGAUAUGCCCUAUUCUCAAAACCUAGAAACCGAGACUUCGCAGAUAAACCAACCAUCCCAUCAAGAGGUAGUAGCAGAAGAGAACUUAAACGCAACCAUUCCGGAUGAUCUUGAUAAUAUGGAAGUCGAUGAUGAUUAUGGGAGCUCCUUGGAUGAAGAGCCAGAAGAUGAUGAGCACACUAUCGAUGAGGAUGAAGCUCAGAUUACCGAAGCUGAGCGCAAUGAAGAACUAGCUGCUUUAGAGGCAGAAGCUGACCUACCACUGGAUGUUAUUCUCAAGAUGUAUACAAAAACCAAAGUUACUCCGAACCAGGCUAAUGGGUGUGAUCAUGAACUUGCUCACUCUUCAAGUGACGAAGGCAAUUCUUCUGAGGAAGUGGAUGAUGGUCAUUCUUAUGCUGAGUUUGUGAAGAAGAAUCAUGGUAAAAGUAAUGGAAAUAUUUCUUCUAUCAAUGAUCAGGAGGACGAAGAUUACAUUGCUGCUGAAGAAGUAAAGGAUGACGAAGCAACUUUGUCCGAAGAGGAACAAUUGGCAAAGAAAGAAGAUCCUGAUCAUCUGGAAGAGAUUAAGUUACUGCAGAAGGAGAGCGAGAUACCACUAGAAGAACUUCUUGCGAGGUACCGAGAGGAUGGCUGUGCAGAUCAUGAAACAGCUGAGUUGGAGAAUUCACCCCAUUUUGUUGAAGAGGUCAAUACCGACAAGUCUUUGAAUGAUCAAUCUGUGAACAUUUUGGAAGCGAAAAGUGAUAUUUUUGUGGAUCACCAAUCCAGGGAUGUGCUGGAAACUGAGCACACGACUCUACAAUCAGAAAUUGCAUCAGAGCCUUGUGCUCAACAAAAUUUUGUGGAAGAGAAUAAUCUCACUGAUGUUAAGACAGUCAAUGAAGAUAAGAGUGAUGAUGUAAUUGCUGAUGCUGCAGCUGCUGCAAGAUCAGCACAACCAACUGGCAACACCUUCUUGACUACAAAAGUGCGCACAAAAUUCCCAUUCCUUCUUAAGCAUUCUCUUCGUGAAUACCAGCAUAUAGGGCUGGAUUGGUUAGUUGCUAUGUAUGAGAAGAGGCUUAAUGGAAUUCUAGCAGAUGAAAUGGGUUUAGGCAAGACAAUCAUGACUAUCUCCUUGCUUGCGCACCUUGCGUGUGAGAAGGGGAUAUGGGGUCCUCAUCUUAUUGUCGUGCCGACUAGUGUUAUGCUAAAUUGGGAGACUGAAUUUCUUAAGUGGUGUCCUGCUUUUAAAAUACUGACUUAUUUCGGAAGUGCAAAGGAAAGAAAGCAGAAGCGUCAGGGCUGGAUGAAACCAAAUUACUUCCAUGUUUGCAUCACAACAUAUAGGCUUGUCAUUCAGGAUUCUAAAGUGUUUAAGCGAAAAAAGUGGAAGUAUCUUAUUCUUGAUGAGGCUCAUCUGAUAAAGAACUGGAAAUCACAGCGUUGGCAGACAUUGCUCAACUUCAAUUCAAAGAGACGUAUUCUUCUGACUGGAACUCCACUGCAAAAUGACCUUAUGGAACUUUGGUCCCUCAUGCAUUUUUUGAUGCCUCAUGUAUUUCAGUCUCAUCAAGAGUUCAAGGAUUGGUUCUGCAAUCCAAUUUCCGGGAUGGUGGAAGGUCAAGAUAAAGUAAACAAAGAAGUUAUAGAUCGAUUGCACAAUGUCCUUCGGCCAUUUAUACUGCGUCGACUGAAAAGAGAUGUUGAGAAACAGUUACCAAAGAAGCAUGAGCAUGUCAUAUAUUGCCGACUUUCUAGAAGGCAAAGGAACUUGUAUGAAGAAUUUGUCGCUAGCUCAGAGACACAAGCAACCCUGGCGAGUGGGAAUUAUUUUGGCAUGAUAAGCAUCAUCAUGCAACUUAGAAAGGUCUGUAACCAUCCAGAUCUUUUUGAAGGUCGGCCAAUAAUAAGCUCAUUUGACAUGGCUGGUAUUAACAUGCAGCUCAGCUAUUCAGUCUGCAUGCUCCUUGAUAAGAGUCCAUUUUCUCAGGUGGACCUGUCUGAUAUGAAUUUUGUGUUUACUCAAAAUGAAUUUAGCAUGAGUUCCUGGGAAGCUGACGAGGUCAUCUCCGCCUUUCCUUCAAGUAUCACCUCCAGGGACUGUGACCUGGAUAUUUUUUGCUCUAAUAAGGAUCAUCAGGGAAGUAAUUUGACAAACAUUUUUGAAGAUAUUCAGAAAGCCCUACAGGAGGAGAGAAUAAAGGAAUCCAGAGAAAGGGCAGCUUCUGUUGCAUGGUGGAAUAGAGUUAGAUGCCAAAAGAGACCUGUCUAUGGCACAAACAUGAGACAUGUUUUGACUGUAAAGCAUCCUGUAUCAAAUAUUCUUAAUAAGAGGAACAAUCCAUUGUGCCACAUGGACUAUUCAUCACGCCUUGCAGAUCUUGUUCUUCCAUCUGUGGAACGCUUUCAGAAAAUGCUUUAUUUUGUUGAAUCAUUUACAUUCGCAAUUCCAGCUGCUCGAGCUCCUCCCCCUGUUUGCUGGUGCAGCAAAGGAAAGUCUCCUGUUUUUAUUGAUCCAGCAUAUAGAGAAAAAUGCAUGUACAAGUUUUCUCCCAUUCUGUCUCCUAUAAGGUCUGCUAUCGUUCGUCGUCAAGUCUACUUUCCUGAUAGGCGUUUGAUCCAGUUUGACUGUGGGAAGUUGCAGGAACUUGCUAUUCUGUUAAGGCGUUUGAAAUCAGAAGGCCACAGGGCCUUGAUAUUUACUCAGAUGACUAAGAUGCUUGACGUCUUGGAAGAGUUCAUAAAUUUAUAUGGGUAUACAUAUUUGCGAUUAGAUGGUUCUACUCCCCCAGAAGAGAGGCAGACUCUAAUGCAGAGGUUCAACACAAAUCCAAAGUUUUUCCUUUUCAUUUUGUCCACACGUAGUGGUGGUGUGGGAAUCAACCUUGUAGGUGCAGACACUGUUAUCUUCUAUGACAGUGACUGGAACCCUGCAAUGGACCAACAAGCACAGGACAGAUGCCACAGGAUUGGUCAGACUCGUGAAGUUCACAUAUAUAGACUCAUCAGUGAAAGCACUAUAGAGGAGAACAUUCUCAAGAAAGCAAAUCAGAAACGAGCUCUUGAUGAUUUAGUGAUACAACGUGGUAGCUACAAUACGGAAUUCUUCAAGAAACUUGAUCCUAUGGAGUUCUUUUCCGGGCACACAUCUCUUCGUGUGGAAGGUCAGGAGAAGAAUUGCUCUACAUCCGUGGGAGCUUCAAAUGAUGUGGAUCUGGCUCUGUCAAUUGCAGAUGUUGAAGCAGCUAUUAGACAGGCAGAAGAUGAAGCUGACUAUAUGGCUCUCAAGAAGUUGGAGGAGGAAGAAGCUGUGGACAAUCAAGAAUUCAGUGAGGAGGUUGCGGGCAGACCAGAGGAGGAUGAAUUGGUUAAUGAGGAGGAUGGAAAACCUGAUGAGCACAUUAAUGAAGAUCACAAAUACUACUCUUCUGAUGUAGAGAAGGAGAAGCACAUUACUUUGUCUACCAAUCGAUUAAACAAUGAAAAGGCUCUUACAUUGGCUGUUGGUGAUGAAGAUACUGACAUGCUUGCUGAUGUGAAACAGAUGGCAGCAGCAGCUGCUGCAGCAGGGCAAGCAUGUUCAUCUUUUGAGAACCAGCUCCGGCCAAUUGAUAGAUAUGCAAUGCGCUUUAUGGAACUCUGGGAUCCAGUAAUUGACAAAGCUGCUGUCAAUCAUCAAGUAAAUGUUGAGGAGGAAGAAUGGGAGCUUGAUCGCAUUGAAAAACUCAAAGAGGAUUUAGAAGCGGAAAUUGAUGAAGACCAAGAACCACUAUCGUAUCAAUCAUGGGAUGUUGAUUUUGCUACGACAGCCUAUCGGCAACAUGUUGAGGCUUUAACUCAAAAGCAGUUGUUGGAAGAACAGGAAAGACAGGCUCAGGAAGCAGCAAAAGAGUUGGAAGAGAAUAAUGAUAAUAUGAGGUACAACAACAACAACAGUCUUGUAGUCCCAAACAAGUUACCCAAUAGAAACCACAAUCACCGCAGAAAGUCAAACAAGAAUAAAAAGAAGACUGGCAAAUUCAAGUCCCAGAAAAGACCGCGUUUGUCUUCUGAAUCAGAAGUCAUUCUGGAGGAAACCUCUGUAGAUACAAUGAGCAUUGAUGACAAUGCACCCUCACCUGAGCUUAUAAGUGAUGAAUCGCCACACCAUUAUUCUAACAAGCGUAAGAAGAUUAUGUCUGCUACUGAGGAAGAUAGUAACAGCAGAAGUUUAAAAAAGUUUAAGAAAACUAAAUCAAGUUUUAUUUCUGAGUUGUCACCUAGGCCGAAGGAGGACCUUAAUGAUUCAGAUCCAAAAUCAGUGGCUAGAACUAAAAGUGAUGGCAGACUUUCCAUCCCUUGCAUGCCAGUAAAGCGUGUUAUUGUGAUAAAGCCUGAGAGAUUGAAAAAGAAGGGAAUAUGGUCUCGAGAUUGUGCUUCAGACUCAUGGACAUCUGAGGAAGAUGCAGUUCUUUGUGGAACUGUGCAUGAGUAUGGUCCUCUUUGGGAACUGGCAAGUGAUUUUCUUCACUCCUUGCCAGGCGGGUCCUCCUAUAGGGGAAGAUAUCAUCAUCCUUUGCAUUGCUGUGAGAGAUACAGAGAACUUUUCUGCAAAUAUGCAAUAUCAGCAACAGAUAAUUCUAACAGUGAAAAGGCUCCUUCUGGGACUGGAAAGGCUGUACUUAGAGUAUCUGAGGAUCAAGCUCAGAUGUUGGUGAAUGUGACCAGUGAACUUCCCAACAAUGAAUUGCUUCUCCAGAAACACUUCAUGGCUGUAAUUUCAUCUGUAUGGAGAUCAAAAUGUUGCCGUCAUCCCUGCUGUUUUAGGAAUAAGCCUGGUGGAUCAAGUGAGAACUGGCCCAUGGUAAACUUUAGACCAAGCGUCAAUCUAGUUAGGGAAGCCCUUGCAGCUGGUCAGGCUAAGUUUACGCUAACUGUGAUUCCACCACCGUCAAGAAACCAGGAAUACUCACGGAAUUAUUUAGAAUUAGAGUUAGAUUUCUUGAAAGAUCAACAUGCCUAUGAGGAAGACUUCCCGUCUGUACUAAAUGUAUCCAUACUGGAACCAGAAUCAUCCAAACAGGCUCCAGAGCCAGUGGAACAAUCAUUGUUAUCUGAACUUUCAUGUAGACAGGCUGAGAACCGACUCAGGAUAGCGUCAGAAGCUUGUUAUGAUGGUGAAAGUUUUCAUUGGGCAUCAUCAUCUUUCCACAUAAAUGAUGCUGCCCGCCACAAAUCUGGUUUGAAGUCUAUAGGGAAGCACAAAGCAGCAUCGGAAUCUGGUAGACCUCCCAAAUCCAAAGUCCAGAAGAUUACUGAAUUGCAUCAGGAAGGGCCAAUUGCCAUGAGUAAUUUUCUCUGUAUGCCUGCUCAACUAUUGCCAAGUACAGCUGACUUCCACAUUAGUGACUCCCUAUCUGACUUUGGUAUCAACGAUUAUGAAUUCAACUACUCUGAGGAUCUCUUGCAAGAGUUUGACGCCCUCGAGUUCUUCCCAGAUCAGGGUGACUCUGGUCUCCUUGGUAUUGAAGAGUUAGAACCUCUUUCGGAUUUCACAGAUAUCGGAUGAACAUAGAUGAGCAAAUUAUGGUUGAUGGGAUGCUGUCCUAUACCAAGAGGAGACAAGAUCGCCUCUGGCAGGAGCCCAAGGAUAUAGGUUGAGUUGCUCAACCAUGCACAGAUGUGCUGCAAGCUUUAUCAUGGCUGGCUGGAGCAAAGCUGCUGGCUUGGUGAGGUCACAUUGAUCUGACAAGCUUGAGGAUGGGUUUGCACUAAUGGCGGCAUUGGGUAAUUUCCAUACAUGUACCAACAGAGAAGGUAAAAGAGGAGGCCCUCAGCACCACCCAUUUGUUGCUGUAUAUCGUGUUCAUUCUCUGUUUAAUCCAAUGUUGUUUGGCUAUUUUGCCACUGAAAACAUCUCACAUGUCAAGUUGGUGGAUGCCAUCUCUAUCAGAAAUUUAGGAUGUGGCGCCAAUGUCCAAAGAAUGAUCAGUCAAGUGCAGCUUAUCGGCGCAUUAUAUUUGGUCAGGAAUCAAUGCAUGACAUCAAUAUGAUCAGAACUGCUGUUCCAGUUUCAUUUGAGGAAUGCAAUUUCUGGUGAUUCGGGAUGCAAGUUUUUCAUAGGAGGUAAAGAGCGUGGGCAUAGUUGUACAUGUAAUAAAAUGAAUAAGGUUCUGUGAACUCUCGGUCUCGGUUAUGCCAAUUAAUAGCCAUAAUUUGUUGUUAGAGGCCAGGGGGCUUUUUGAUCAGCGGGCUGCUGCUGUGAGCCGGUAACAAUGUAGCUGAUUGUGCGCCUCCAUAUUGUUUUCUUGGUAAGUGGACUUUGCAUCACUGCCAAGCAACGAUGAGAUAGAGUAAUUGGUCUGUUUCGCGCAAAAAUACUACGAGCUUGUAUUCA